AUACAAGCAAUCGGACAUAAAGUCGUACAGCUGAGCGAGGGAGGAAGUAUUUUCAUCCUCAUUCAGAGACAGCAAGAGAGCAGAAGCGGAGGACUGGGGCUCCAGUAAGUGGAUCCUGCACCCCUUGCCAGUGGAAGACAUCCGACAGCUAGCUGUGGAAACCCCUCCACACCCUCGUCAGCACGAGCCAGGAUGGUGAGAGCCCCAGCAGCGCCAAACCAGGCAGAUGAAAAUAACACUGUGAAGGUUCUGAAAAUUAAACUGCUGUCGGAAGCAUCCCCCACAAAUUAGGCCAAAGGCUGACUUCUAAACCUAAAAGACUUUAACAGGACC
rnacentral:lncRNA from 1 species